rnacentral:lncRNA from 1 species
AAAAAUAACAGAAUAGAUUUUUAUUUAUUGUUUUUUAUUAUUAUUUGGGGGGGAUAUAAAAGGGUGAUUUCAAUUUGUAAAAGGGGGUUAGCAAAAUUUUUAUACCGAAAUCAAAAAGAAAAUAGACGGAAAGAAACAUUUUUGAAGGUGGGAUCUUGUUUUCUUUCUCGGUUCUUUUACUGUUUUUUUUAAUUUACCUUGUUCUUUUCUUUUGCUUCUUUUUAAAAAAAAUAACAAAAAUAAACGAAGAGGGAGAGAAAGGGGGCUUACCUGGUGUCGCCGGAGCGUCGUCGGAGGCCAAGGGACGGCUUAGCGGCGGUGGAUCUUUGACGGUGGCGACGUGUGGGGAGGGUGCUAAGAAAAACCUAGCAGAGAACCCCCACUUUUCCUCUCUGUUCUUUAAAGAAAAUGGAAUAAAGAUGUUUUUAAAGGAAAUUUUUUUUCUUUUUUCCUUAUUUUUUUUAUAUUAACGAAAAGUGGUGCCGUUUAAUGGCCAUUGAUUGGUUUUUUAUUCAAAUGGUUUAUUUUCGAAACUGGUCCUUUCUUGUUACAGUGCUUGUAAAUUAAAUUAUUUAUUUCUUAUAAAUUUGGCCACAUGUUUUAUAACUGUUUCAAUCUGACCCGUAUUGUUGUGCAGCGUUUUGGAGGGAGGGAUUAUUUUCCCUUUUGGUCCUUCAAAGUUAAUUGUGCGUUCUAAUUGGUCCAUUUGCAUCUUAUUUUUUAUAAAUUUGCCCUAAAUGUUUGUUUAAAGUUUAAAUUAGAAUAUUUUUUUUCUUUCUUCUUUAUUUCCAUUAAUAUUACUGUAUUAUUAUCAGUUUAUUAUUAUUAUUAUCAUAUUAUAUAGUAUUAUUAUAUUUAUUUAUAUGUGUAUAGGCAUAUUAAUAUAUAUAUAUACAUUUUAAAAUAUACACUAUAUGUAUAUCAUAUAUUUUAUUAUUACUUUAUUUUUCUUAGUUUUAUAUACAUAUGCAUAUAAAUAUUUAUAUUAUAUAAUUUUCAUAUCAUUUUUUUUAUUUUAAAGAAAUUCGAUCAAUUAUAUAUGUUCUUUUAAAUAUAUAUAUGUAUAUACGUUAUUCAUAAGUAUUUAAAUAUAUUUUUUGCAUUUGUCUCGCAUACAUAUAUACACAUUUUCAUAUUUUUAUAAAUAUAUUUUACUUAUAUUUUUUUAUAUACCUAUACAUAUUUUAUACCUCACUUUCAUAGUUUUUAUAUAUACGUUUAACGUAUGCAUAGGCAUUUUAUUUUAAGAUAUACUUAUAUGUCAUAAUUUAUUUUGUAAAUACACAUAUGCAUAAUUUAAAUUAAAAUAUUUGUUUCAUAUUGCAUUAAUAUUUUAAUAUAUUUUCAAAAAUAUAUAUUGAUUUUGUUAAAACAUUUAAAACGGUUUUAUGAUCCAAAGGCUUUCAAAAUAAAUGAUAUUCAAGGUGAGGGAUUUUUCGAGGGAAAUUGAACCCUAACGUAUUGGGUUCCGAUUUUCUUUAUCAAUUUCAAGUAACCGAGAAUAUUCGUUAUUUAAAAUGUAUAAGUAUAAAAAAAUCAUUUUCGGGAACUUUAUUUAUGGUGUCCUAACGUAUUGGGCAUGACAUAUUAUUUUCUCGAAAUGAAGAUUUUCUUUAAUGACUGAAUUUUACCCGGCCCACUCAAAAUAGAUCUAACCUAGCCCAAUAAACCCAUCAAAAAAAAACCUAGCCCUUUCGUCUCAAUACUGCAGCAGCAAGCGGUUUCCACAGCCCCGCAGACAUCGCCCACGUUCAGCAGUUUCCUCGCACACCACGCACGUUCCACCUGCAACAAAACCACAGACAACAGCAGAUAAAAAAAAAAGAGGCUAAAAUAAGAGGGGGAUUUUUUUAUUUAAGGGAUUUUUUUAUUAUUAUUAUGGUUUUUGGGGGGGAUAUAAAGAGUUGAUUGUAAAACCUAUGGAAAAAAAAAACAAUAUUGUAUGAACAGAUUGAAGAAACACAAAAAAAGAUUGAAAAAAAACAGUUUUGAAGGUAAAGGAUUUUGGAUUUUCUUCUUUUGUUCUUGUUACUGUUGGCAUUAGAUUUUUGUUUCUCUUUUGUUUUUUUUUAAAUAUUAAAUAAGCAAAAGGGAUAAAAGGAAAGGGACUUACCUUCGAGAGAGUGGUCGAGCACCCUCUAUCGUUGUUAUCUGGUCGGAGAGGUGAGGAGAUUGGAAGGGCAGAAGGAGAUCAUUACGGCGCAGUGUCAAAGAAAGAAAGAAAAUGUUCCUUUUAGGGUUUAAAAAGGGGGUUUCUAUUUGAUUUAAGUUGAUGGGUUAUUUAUGAUUUAGGCCCUUCAUUUGUUUUAUGGUUUUAAAAAUCACUUUUUCUUAUUUUCAAAUUUUCCCAUGAAAUAUUAUUAAUGUUUUGAUUUAAUCCAAUGUUGUGCAAUGCUUUAGAUUGGUUGGGUAAAUUGUUUUUUCAGUCCUCUCCCUGCUGCGCGUGUUUUAAAUUACUCCUUUUCUUGUUUUUAUUUUCAAAUUCGGCUCAUAAAUUCUGUUUGGCUUUAAAUUUAGUCCUUAAUUUGUUUUUUUUUUUAUAUUGUUAAUAUUAUUUAUUAGUAUAAUUAUUACUAUGUUAUUAUUAUAGUAUGUAUAUAUGUGAGCAUAUAUAUAUAAGUUAAUAUAUAUAUUAUAAAUGUUUUAAAUAUAUAUGUAGUACGUAUAUAUUUUAUUAACAUAUCAUUUUAUUUUUAUAGUUUAUAUAUUAUAUAUGUAUCCUAUAUUUUAUUAUUACUUUAUUUUUCUUAGCUUUAUAUACAUAUAUAUGCAUCUAUAUAUUUGUAUUUUAUAAUAUUUACAUAUUUUCAAUAUCUUAUAAUUCAAAAUUUUUUUUAUUAUAAUAUGUAUACACAUACACUUAUAUUAUUUGACAUCUUUAUCAAUAUUAUCUUUCAAAUCCCUUUUACAUGUAAAUAUAUGUCCAUUUUUUAUAUAAUUAGUAAUAUAUUAUGCUUACAUUUUUUUCAUCUUUUUAUUUAAGUUUUUUUAUUAUAUUAUUUUUAUACAUGUAUGUGUGCAUUAAUAUCUUAUCAUACUCUCAAAAAGUAAACAUUUUGAUUUUGUCAAAAUACUAAAAUUAUUUUUAUGAUUUAAAUGUUUUCAAAAUAAAUAAAAAACGAUAUUCAAAGUUAGGGAUUUUCGAGGAAAAGUGAGCCCUAACGUAUUGGGUUCCGAUUUUCUUUGUUAAUUCCAAAUAACCAAGAAUAUUUGUUAUUUUAAAUAUAAACAAAAAUCAUUUUCGGGAAUUCAAUAUGUUAUGUCCUAAUGCAUUGGACAUGACAUAUUAUUUUCUCGAAAUGAAGAUUUUCUUUAAAAAAUUAAUUAAUUAAAAAGUGAUAUUCAAAAUUCGGGGAUUUUGAGAAAUUGUACCCUAACAUAUUAGGUCUCAAUUUCUUCGCAUGACUUGAAUAAUUGAUUAUCCUUUUCAGAUUUCAACAUUUGGGUUUAACAAAACCUUUUUAAUUUUCGACACCAAGACAUUAGAUAAUCAAUUUGGUACCGAUUUUUUGGCGUUACGAGGGUGCUAACCCUUCCUCGUGCGUAACUGACUCCCGAACCCGUUUUCUCAAAUUUCGUAGACCAAAUUUGUUUUUUAAGGUGAGCCGGUCACACCUAAAUCAUGGAUCGGUGGCGACUCCAAUUUUUGUUUUCAAAGUCGACAACCAAAUUUUUAUUUUCAAAAAAUGGUUUCGACAGCUCAUUUUAGAUUCAUUCACGGGUUAAAAAUUUCUAUUUAAAAUCUUUUCAAUUUUUCGACAUCAAGACAUAAAAUAAUCAAAUUUGGUACCGAUUUUUGGGCGUCACGAGGGUGCUAACCCUUCCUUGUGCGUAACUGACUCCCGAACCUGUUUUCUCAAAUUUUGCAGACCAGAAUUUUUUUUUGGUGAGCCGAUCACACCUUAAUAAAGGAUCGGUGGCGACUCCAAUUUUUUGUUUUUAAAGUCGAUAACUUUUAUUUUUAUUUUCAAAAAAUGGUUUCGACAGCUUGGCGACUCCGCUGGGGACCUUCGAGGGUCGAGCCAUAAAUUGAUUAGCUUUUGUCUUUUUGUCGGAAGGGUUUCAAAGUUGUUUUAAAUCAUGAUUUUCCCCUUUGCAUUCAUUGGUUUUAUCAUAUACUUGCUUGAUUGAUCUAAGUCCGUUAGUUUAUUUGCAUUUCGCAUUUCAUGGUCAAUUUUACCCCUUUAAGUGGGAGUGAGAAACUAGUCCUUCGUGAAGUUUUCACCUCCGUGCAGGAUAGUGGAUCGCUUUCGGAAUACAUCUAUACCUAUGUCUUCGUGAGAUUUUCAUCUCCGUGCAGCCAUAGGGAAAUGUAUUCCCCUGAACUGAACUUGGUCCAUAUGAGCCUAUAAUGGGUGAGGAUCGAGGAAUCUGUUGGUUCGGGUACCCUUACUCUAGAAGCCAAAACCUCAUAUAGUGAACCUUAGGAACCCACCCUAGGUAGAAUUACUUUGAACCUUAGUAGACACCUAAUUAGGAGUUUUUACUAUUUCUUGGUUGUAUUGUAUUUAAUUGUUACUGACUUUUUGUGUUUUACUCUGAUUGCAUGGCAUUACAAUUACAUGGCAUUCCAUUAUAAAGAGGCGUUGUUUCGUAUUCGGUUGCUAGACAGAAAGUUUAUCAUGGGAAAUGGGUUUCUUGAUAAAGUGGAAGAUAAUACGGCUACCUGAAUAUAUUCCAAGAAACGCAAAAAGGGUGAUGGAGAAAUACAUGACUUUACUUCGUGCCUCAAGGUCAAGCUAAUUAUUCAAGAGUUUCUGACAUUUCAACCUCCUUAAAGAAGCUGAUAACCCUUACGAUGAUGCGCAGACGUUGGAUUAUAACCAGGAUCAAGUAAAAAGGGAGGUAGAGGAGAUACCCCUUUUGAAGAAUUCGCAAGAUUUAUCUUAGCAUCUAGAUGAAGAAGGAGAAGAUGACUUCGCCUGGAGUAUGAGGGCAAAGCCGUAUGUAUAUAUCCGCUUUAUGUAAAGAAAUUCAUCUUCUAGUAAAGUUUUCUAAAUGGAAUUGAAUCAGAAUCAACGUCUCUUUUUGCAUUCAUUCAUGCGUUUGCAUUACAUUGCAUCAUAUGCACUAAAAUCCACCAAAAGAGCCUAAUCAAUUAAAAUUAUUCUUUAGUUAACCUGGAAACCAACCAGCAAACCCAGCCCCGUUAUGGUACAAGAGCGAAAUCAAAGAAUAUGGAUCAAAGAUUAGAAAAGCUCGAGCAGUUCCAAAAAGAAAUGCAUAAGCAACUUCAGCAGCAGAUGCAGGAGCAGCUCGAGAAGAUUCAAGAGAAAAUGAUAGAUAAAAUGAUGGAAUCUCAAGGAAGUAUGAUGACAAAGUUAACGCAGUUGUUGAAGGAAAGGAAAGAUAAAGGAAAGAGCCCCAUGGCCAAUGUUGAGGAGGAAGGUGAUAACAGACCCCUGUAUCCUUCAGGCUUCACUCCCCCAGAUGUACAGCCUCAAGUGGAAAUGAACCAACGUAGAUCUUCUGUUACCAUUAGGCCUCAGCAAUUUCUGGCCGAUGCUUCAAAGGCGAUGAAUUAUCGAACUGGAUCAGGCUCUAGCCCUGAGAAUAUUCCCGUCAAUCUUGUAGUCCCUAACUUUGAUGAGGUGGUCGAAAAGAAAAAUGCAAAGGAAGAAUUGCCAAAGCAAUUGGAAGAAAGGUGGAAGUGGGUCGAAGAGAAGUUCAAGGCGAUGAAAAGUACUGAGAGAUAUGGUGAGAUUGAUGCUAAAGAUCUGAGUUUGGUAUCGGAUUUGGUGCUCCCUCACAAGUUCAAAAUGCCAGAAUUCGAUAAGUAUAAUGGGACAAGUUGCCCUGAGGCCCACAUUACCAUGUUUUGUAGACGAAUGGCUGGGUAUGUCAAUAAUGAGCAGUUAUUGAUACACUGUUUUCAGGAUAGCCUCACGGGGGCAGCGUCUAAAUGGUAUAAUCAAUUGAGCCGUGCUAAGAUUAGUUCCUGGAGGGAUUUGGCACAGGCUUUUAUGAAGCAGUACAAUCAUGUGGCAGAAAUGGUUCCUGACAGAAUUACUUUGCAAAACAUGGAGAAGAAGUCGAAUGAAAGUUUCAGGCAGUACGCUCAGAGAUGGAGGGAGGUUGCAGUUCAGGUCCAACCACCGUUCCUUGAAAGAGAAAUGGUGAUGCUCUUUAUAAAUACGUUGAAGGCCCCAUUCAUCACACAUAUGUUGGGAAGUUCCACAAAAAUCUUUUCUGACAUAGUUAUGAGUGGUGAGAUGAUUGAGAGUGCUAUUAGGAGCGGAAAGAUUAAUGCUGGAAGAAAUAACAGAAAUCAAGCCCCAAAGGAAAAAGAAAAUGAGGUGAACAGCGUGAACACGUACAGCAAAUCGAUUACGGUGAAUCAGCCAGGAAGGGUGGUUAUUAAUCAACAGGGUUCAUCAAGACAAGAAUCAGGUGUGAAGCCAGGUACUGAGAAGCUCCAGUUCACACAAAUUUCGAUGUCCUAUAAGGAGUUAUAUCAAAGCUUGUUCGAUGCGCAUGUUGUUGCUCCUCAUUACUUAAAACCCCCACAGCCUCCGUACCCCAAAUGGUACGACGCAAGUGCACAAUGCGAUUAUCAUGCAGGAAUUCCGGGACAUUCUAUAGAAAAUUGCAUUGCCUUUAAAAAAGUGGUCGAAAGGCUUAUCAGUAUGGGCGUUGUCAAAUUUGACAAUUCAUCCAUUGCAGAAAAUCCACUACCUAAUCACAUUUGAUAAUGGGGUGAAUGUGAUGCAUGAAGAAGUGGUAGGAAACGUUCACAUCAAUGCCAUACAUGGAGACACAACUAAAGAAGAGAUCUUGUUAGAUAUUCGCAUUUGUAAAUUUGGGAGUGUUUUAAUUAAUUGGACUGUAGAAGAAAUUUCUGUGGUAUUUAGAACUUACUUAGAGUAAUGUUCAAAACACACUUGUUGCUUUUGGCCUAGAGGCAAUAAGAAUUCCUUUGCGAAAUAUGCUUAUGUUUGAACGUCAUUAUUCUAUGAAUACAUCUUUACAUUCAUUUUUAAGCCAAUAUUCUUUCAUUCCUUUUGAAUAAUUCUAGAUUCUUUCAUUCUUUUGGAUUUUCUUUCAUACUAUUUGUUCAUUCAUAAUCAUAUUGUAUAGAUAGUUCUUCAUAAAUUUAUACAUUCUUUUGCAUAUUCUUUGAUAUUUAUUAUGGGCCCCCAGAUAUCAAUGACAUGAAUGACACUGCUACAGAUUUAGAAUCUCUUUUUGAGCAAGACAUGUGUUUAGAGGGAUCUCAUGACUUUGAAGAUGACAUAGAUCGUAGCCUAUCUCUAGCCUUGUUGAGGAUGGUAGAGCAAAAAGAGAACAAAUUUUAGCUCCUGAAGAGACAAUGGAGAUUGUGACUUUAAGAGAACAUGCAUAACCGGAGAAACGAAGCAAUACCUUGUUAAGUUACUUCAAGAGUUUAAAGAUGUCAUCACAUGGUCAUACCAGGAUAUGCCCAGGUUAAGCACUGAUAUUGUAAUCUGAGCAAUAGCACGUUAAAAAUCUGCAGUAUGUUCAGGAUUCACAUCGUGAACGAUGCAGUUAGAAUUCUUUGUUGGGGCAAUACCUUCUUCUCUGGCUUAUCGUGUUGAAGUCAAGUUGUCAUUUUUCUGUAUUUUUGUUGGAUUUCAUCUUAAUCGAAGAGGAAAAUCUAAAAUUUUCUCGUCAUAGUUUCGCCCCAAAAGGAUCUAUGAGAGAAACCUGAUACCAAAGAAGAUCUUUCGCAUACAAAAUGAAAGUGAAAGAUCUUAUGGGGAAGACCUUAUCUGGAAUAAUAUUGAUUCUGAUCGAAAAGGAUGACCUGGACUUGCCUAAUCCUAUGAGUGCAGAUUCAGUUAAAAAAAACAAAAAAACAAAAAACAAAAAAAAAGAAAGAGAGAAAAAAAUAGAAAAUAGAAAAAAAAGAGAACAUAAAAGAACAAAAAACAAAAAAAACCUCUACCGGGGCAAUGUCUUUCUCUUUAGCUUAUCACGGUUUUUCCAUUGAAGUUAAAAUUCUUUCUCUCCGAGUAUAGGCUGAGCUAAAGUAGAAUAAAGAUCCAAUCUCGAUGAUCAGUUGAACUUAAUUGAAGGAAAUUGGCUAAAAGUUAUUCGUCACGGUCAGAUGUACCAAAAACGGAUGAUGCGAGCUUACAACAAAAAGGUUCGUCCUAGAGAAUUCCAUGAAGGAGACCUGGUAUUGAAAAAGAUCAUUCCUCUACAAAAAGAUUUAGAAAAAAAAAUGAGUGCCAGAUUGGGAAUGUCCUUAUGUUGCAAAGAAGACAUUUUCCGGAGGAGCACUGAUCUUGAGUGAGAUGGAUAGUAAAACUUGUCUAAUCCUAUAAACUCAAAAUCAGUCAAGAAAUACUUCGUUUAAAGAUGGAGAGGACCAAGGUAAAAAACCCGCAAAAGGCAUUUUGAGUCGCAAAAAAAAAGAUGAGAAAUGAAAAAAUGAAAAAGUGAAAAAAUGAAAAAGUGAAAUGGAGAGGCUAAGGUGAAAAUCCGCAAAGGGCGCCUUAGACCAAAGGGGAUUUGAGUUGAAAACCCGAAAAGGGCAGCUCAAAUAUUGAUCAGAAUGGGCAUGAGGUAAUCAGAGCAGCUCAAAUGUUGAUUAGAAUGGGGCAUGCUACGCGACAUCUUGGGGCAUCGACAGAGUAAUGUAGAUCUCCUAAACACAUGUCAAACUCAAAAUGGUCUUCAAGAAGUUUGUACAGAGAAGUUCAAGCUGCGACAUCUGGGGCACCUAGUCUCCAUACUAUUUAUUUUGAAUUUGUUGUUCUUGGAAUACUUCAUUCUUUUCCAAGACACGCAUUCCCAAUCAAUUUCUUUGUUAUCCUUCUUUACUAUUUUUGAUAAUUUAUUCCUUUCGAGCUAUGCUCAAAACUAACUUUAUUCUUAUCCAUUGUUAUCACCUUUUUGCAAGCAUGUUGCAUUAGAAUAAUGAUUAAUGGACUAAUAAAACUUUCACAAUGGAAGUUUUGCAUAUUACUCUAGAAGUUUCUAAACAAUAUAGGAGCUUGAAACAAGACUGUUGUUUAGAAUGCACCAAGUUUAAAGGUUGAAAUAUCUGGGAAGGAAAUGUCUAAAUUGAGACUAUACCUUCAGAUUUUGUUGUCAUAACAUUGAUUGAACAAAAUGAUAGGACGAUAGGUUGGUGGCAAGGCUUAGAUGAACAAGAAAGCAAUAAUCACCAAGCAAUAAAAAAAGGGUUUCUUUGGAGAGGAGAAUCCUUCAUGCGUGCAUAAGCAUUUGGUAUGACACCCUGAGAUUGGUAUAAAAGACCAAAGAGCUUCACAUUUUGCAUCCUUGAAUUGCGAUAGAUGAGGAUUGAGAAAAGGCCAAAUUUUUCUACCCUUGGGUUACAGCGGGAAAAAGAUGAUACCAAUGUUGCAUCCCAGUAGAUUGAACUUUGAAGCUCACAAUGGGGGCAAUCUGAUUGAGUGUUUUUUUUUGAAGAUGCUAGCCGAGCAAGAGGACGUUGUAGUGCGUCAGUGAUACGGCUUUAAUAAAUUUUGAGUAAUGACUACCUAAGCGGGAUCAUUCUCGGAAAAAAUGACAUUCUGCAUUCAUUCAAACGUCAUUCAUACAUGUCUAGUUAGGAGCAUUUAAUUCUUUCUGAUCAUGACAUCCUAAUCACUAGGCAUAAUUAGGUUCAUAACUUGAAUUUUACAGGUCAUGUUCCCUAGAGAACCAAACUGAUAAAACUUCAGCCUUAUCUCCUUGAGCAGCAGUAGAGUAGAUUGAAAAUAGUAGAUUUUUAUUUCCUUAGCGUUGUAGCGGAGCAGAUUGAAGUCACAACGGCGGAUCUGGUUUCCCCGACAGCGCAAUUAAAAGAUUGAAGCCACAACGGCGGAUCUUACUUCCUUGGCGGUGCAGCGGAGCAGAUUGAAGUCACAACGGCGGAUCUAGUUUCCCCGACAGCGUAAUUAAAAGAUUGAAGCCACAACGGCGGAUCUUACUUCCCUAGCGGUGCAGCGGAGCAGAUUGAAGUCACAACGACGGAUCUGGUUUCCCCGACAGCGUAAUUAAAAAGAUUGAAGCCACAACGGCGGAUCUUACUUCCCUAGCGGUGCAGCAGAGCAGAUUGGAGUCACAACGACGGAUCUGGUUUCCUCGACAGUGCAAUUAAAAAGAUUGAAGCCACAACGGCAGAUCUUACUUCCCUAGCGGUGCAGCAGAACAGAUUGAAGUCACAACGACGGAUCUGGUUUCCUCGACAGUGCAAUUAAAAAGAUUGAAGCCACAACGGCAGAUUUUACUUCUCUGGCGGUGCAAUGGAGUAGAUUGAAGUCACAACGGCAGAUCUGGUUUCCUCGACAGUGCAAUUAAAAAGAUUGAAGCCACAACGGCGGAUCUUACCUCCUUAGUAGUGUAGUUGAACAGAUUGAAGCUACGACGGCGGAUCUUGUUUCCUCGACAUUGGAAUUGGAUAAAUUGAAUAAGAUAAUCCUAUCCCCCUGAAGAUGCAGUGGAGCGGAUUAACACCACGGAUAUUACCUUUCUAAAAUUGCAGUAAAGCAGAUAGUAUCAGACUCAUCUUUGAAGUUGCAGCAGAAUAAGUUAAAGUUACGAGUCUUAUCUCACUGAAGUUACGGUGGAGCAGACUAGAGAUUGCAAGUUUUGUUCUUUUGAGAAGCCACAAAGUACAAGUCCUAUCUCUUUGAUGUUGCAGUGGAGUGGAUUGAAGCACCGAUUCCUAUACCUCUGCAGACGCAGUAGAUUGGAAUGAGGCUAUUUGAAGAGCGCUAAGGUCCAGUAUGCCCGGGCAAAAUUGGCCAUCUUAAAGUCUUUGCUCUGUUCCCGUUACACGACAACGAGCAAAGAGGGGCAGCUGUAAUAGCCCAUUUUUGCCCGGCCCAUUCAAAAUAAGACCAACCCAAAAUCAUAACACUGCCCAAAUUAAAUACAAUUAAAUCCAAUAAAACUUAGGCUAAGCUUAACCCAAUUACAGGGCCCAAUUAACCCACUAGCCUAAAACACAAAACAGAGAAACCUAGCAGCAAAAUCAACAGCCGCGGUAACCUCACCCACGCCUCAACAUCGCCCCACGUUCAGCACUUUGCGCACGUCUUCCACGACUUUCAUACCUACGAAAAACUGAUCCAAACGGCAAUGGAUGAAAAAUAACAGAAUAGAUUUUUAUUUAUUGUUUUUUAUUAUUAUUUGGGGGGGAUAUAAAAAGGUGAUUUUAAUUUGUAAAAGGGGGUUAGCAAAAUUUUUAUACCGAAAUCAAAAAGAAAAUAGACGGAAAGAAACAUUUUUGAAGGUGGGAUCUUGUUUUCUUUCUCGGUUCUUUUACUGUUUUUUUUAAUUUACCUUGUUCUUUUCUUUUGCUUCUUUUUAAAAAAAAUAACAAAAAUAAACGAAGAGGGAGAGAAAGGGGGCUUACCUGGUGUCGCCGGAGCGUCGUCGGAGGCCAAGGGACGGCUUAGCGGCGGUGGAUCUUUGACGGUGGCGACGUGUGGGGAGGGUGCUAAGAAAAACCUAGCAGAGAACCCCC